AGGCAUUGAGGCAGCCAGCGCAGGGGCUUCUGCUGAGGGGGCAGGCGGAGCUUGAGGAAACCGCAGAUAAGUUUUUUUCUCUUUGAAAGAUAGAGAUUAAUACAACUACUUAAAAAAUAUAGUCAAUAGGUUACUAAGAUAUUGCUUAGCGUUAAGUUUUUAACGUAAUUUUAAUAGCUUAAGAUUUUAAGAGAAAAUAUGAAGACUUAGAAGAGUAGCAUGAGGAAGGAAAAGAUAAAAGGUUUCUAAAACAUGACGGAGGUUGAGAUGAAGCUUCUUCAUGGAGUAAAAAAUGUAUUUAAAAGAAAAUUGAGAGAAAGGACUACAGAGCCCCGAAUUAAUACCAAUAGAAGGGCAAUGCUUUUAGAUUAAAAUGAAGGUGACUUAAACAGCUUAAAGUUUAGUUUAAAAGUUGUAGGUGAUUAAAAUAAUUUGAAGGCGAUCUUUUAAAAAGAGAUUAAACCGAAGGUGAUUAAAAGACCUUGAAAUCCAUGACGCAGGGAGAAUUGCGUCAUUUAAAGCCUAGUUAACGCAUUUACUAAACGCAGACGAAAAUGGAAAGAUUAAUUGGGAGUGGUAGGAUGAAACAAUUUGGAGAAGAUAGAAGUUUGAAGUGGAAAACUGGAAGACAGAAGUACGGGAAGGCGAAGAAAAGAAUAGAGAAGAUAGGGAAAUUAGAAGAUAAAAACAUACUUUUAGAAGAAAAAAGAUAAAUUUAAACCUGAAAAGUAGGAAGCAGAAGAAAAAAGACAAGCUAGGAAACAAAAAGCUAAGGGCAAAAUGUACAAACUUAGAAGAAAAUUGGAAGAUAGAAACAAGAUAGAAAAUGAAAAUAUUGUCAAGAGUUUCAGAUAGAAAAUGAAAAACAAGCUAAGACAAGUAUUGGAGAAGUAUAGAAGAUAGAAAAAUAUAAAGCCAAAAAUUGGAUAAAAUAGCACUGAAAAAAUGAGGAAAUUAUUGGUAACCAAUUUAUUUUAAAAGCCCAUCAAUUUAAUUUCUGGUGGUGCAGAAGUUAGAAGGUAAAGCUUGAGAAGAUGAGGGUGUUUACGUAGACCAGAACCAAUUUAGAAGAAUACUUGAAGCUAGAAGGGGAAGUUGGUUAAAAAUCACAUCAAAAAGCUACUAAAAGGACUGGUGUAAUUUAAAAAAAACUAAGGCAGAAGGCUUUUGGAAGAGUUAGAAGAAUUUGGAAGGCCUUAAAUAUAGUAGCUUAGUUUGAAAAAUGUGAAGGACUUUCGUAACGGAAGUAAUUCAAGAUCAAGAGUAAUUACCAACUUAAUGUUUUUGCAUUGGACUUUGAGUUAAGAUUAUUUUUUAAAUCCUGAGGACUAGCAUUAAUUGACAGCUGACCCAGGUGCUACACAGAAGUGGAUUCAGUGAAUCUAGGAAGACAGCAGCAGACAGGAUUCCAGGAACCAGUGUUUGAUGAAGCUAGGACUGAGGAGCAAGCGAGCAAGCAGCAGUUCGUGGUGAAGAUAGGAAAAGAGUCCAGGAGCCAGUGCGAUUUGGUGAAGGAAGCUAGGAAGAAGGAAGGAGCGCUAACGAUUUGGUGGUGAAGCUAGGAAAAAGGAUUCCAGGAAGGAGCGAGUGCAAUUUGGUGAUGAAGGUAGCAGGCGGCUUGGCUUGGCAACCACACGGAGGAGGCGAGCAGGCGUUGUGCGUAGAGGAUCCUAGACCAGCAUGCCAGUGUGCCAAGGCCACAGGGAAAGCGAGUGGUUGGUAAAAAUCCGUGAGGUCGGCAAUAUGUUGUUUUUCUGGAACUUACUUAUGGUAAUAGCCUGCAGCUGGUGUUUUGAGAAGCCCUACUGCUGAAAACUUAACAAUUUUGUGUAAUAAAAAUGGAGAAGCUCUAAA
ensembl:lncRNA MALAT1 metastasis associated lung adenocarcinoma transcript 1